UCAUAUAGCUAGUAGGUGUCUGAGGCUGGAUUUGAAUUCAAGUCCUCCUGACUGCAAAGCUGGCACUUCCCACUGGCACUAUUCACUACACCAUGUGGCUGCCUCAAGUGAUAGAAUUACAGAAAAUAAAACAGGAAGACCUUCAUCAAAUAUCUGCUAAGUUGAAUCAAGUGAUUUUAGACUUCUUCCAUCCCAAGAAUUCAAAGAACCUUCUCAAAAAGGACUGAAAGGAUCACACUCUCCUCCAGCAUCCUUAGUCUGAUGCAUACACAGAUCCAGAGACAGUCUCUUAGGAAGACUCAAUGGGCUUCUUGAUCUACCAGUGAACCAGAAGUAGCAUGCUUCCUCCAAAUCUCCCGGAAGGACCUCUAUUUAUUAGAAUGCCUCAAAAGCAUUCUUGUGAGUGAGCUGAAAUCUUUCCCUCUUUUGAACUCCUGUUGUGCUUUGGUUGUGUUAUUCUCAGAGACCAAAACUAAAACAUAAAAACAGGUACUGAA